rnacentral:tRNA from 1 species
AUUUAUAUAGUUUAAAGCAUAAAACAUUACAUUUUCAAUGUAAAAUUAAAUAAAAUUUAUAAAUA